UACAGGGGGUGCAAACGUUGCUCGGAAUUAUUGGGCGUAAAGCGCGCGUAGGCGGCUACUUAAGUCGGAUGUGAAAGCCUUUGGCUCAACUGAGGAAGUGCACCCGAAACUGAGUGGCUUGAGUACUAAAGAGGGUCGCGGAAUUCCCGGUGUAGAGGUGAAAUUCGUAGAUAUCGGGAGGAACACCGGUGGCGAAGGCGGCGACCUGGGUAGAUACUGACGCUGAGGCGCGAAAGCGUGGGGAGCAAACAGG
rnacentral:rRNA from 1 species